rnacentral:rRNA from 1 species
AACGAACGCUGGCGGCAUGCCUAACACAUGCAAGUCGAACGAGACCUUCGGGUCUAGUGGCGCACGGGUGCGUAACGCGUGGGAACCUGCCCUUAGGUUCGGAAUAACUCCCCGAAAGGGGUGCUAAUACCGGAUAAUGUCUUCGGACCAAAGAUUUAUCGCCCUUGGAUGGGCCCGCGUUGGAUUAGCUUGUUGGUAGGGUAAAAGCCUACCAAGGCGACGAUCCAUAGCUGGUCUGAGAGGAUGGUCAGCCACACUGGGACUGAGACACGGCCCAGACUCCUACGGGAGGCAGCAGUGGGGAAUAUUGGAAAAUGGGCGAAAGCCUGAUCCAGCAAUGCCGCGUGAGUGAUGAAGGCCUUAGGGUUGUAAAGCUCUUUUACCCGGGAUGAUAAUGACAGUACCGGGAGAAUAAGCUCCGGCUAACUCCGUG